rnacentral:ncRNA from 1 species
UUUAUGGAGAGUUUGAUCCUGGCUCAGGACGAACGCUGGCGGCGUGCCUAAUACAUGCAAGUCGAGCGGAGUCAAUAAGAAGCUUGCUUCUUUGAGACUUAGCGGCGGACGGGUGAGUAACACGUAGGCAACCUGCCCUUUAGCCUGGGAUAACACCGGAAACGGUAGCUAAUACCGGAUACGUUUCGUUGUCUGCAUGGACGACGAACGAAAGACGGAGCAAUCUGUCACUGAAGGAUGGCCUGCGGCGCAUUAGCUAGUGGUGGGGUAACGGCUCACCAAGGCGACGAUGCGUAGCCGACCUGAGA